AGGACGAACGCUGGCGGCGUGCCUAACACAUGCAGGUCGAACGGAGAUCAUUUAGUUGAGAUUUCGGUUGAUUCUAUAUGAUCUUAGUGGCGGACGGGUGAGUAACGCGUGAGUAACCUGCCGAUGAGAGUGGAAAUAACGUUCUAGAAAAAGAACGCUAAUACCGCAUAACAUAUCUUUGCCGCAUGACAGAGAUAUACAAAGAUUUUAUCGCUCAUUGAUGGACUCGCGUCCGAUUAGCCAGUUGGCGGGGUAACGGCCCACCAAAGCGACGAUCGGUAGCCGGACUGAGAGGUUGAACGGCCACAUUGGGACUGAGACACGGCCCAGACUCCUACGGGAGGCAGCAGGUGGGGGAUUAUUGCGACAAGUCGGGGGAAACCCUGACGCAGCAACGCCGCGUGAAGGAAGUACGGUUUUCGGAUUAGUAAACUUCUUUUGUUAAGGACGAAGAAAGUGACGGUACUUAACGAAUAAGCUCCGGCUAACUACGUGCCAGCCGCCGC
rnacentral:rRNA from 1 species